UGCUACCAGCAUUUGGAUAUUCUCAUAUGGUCGGUGGAUUAUAGAAUGCCCUGAGAUUCCUUAAGCAAGUUUAAGAGCCCAAGAAAGAACAUCCAUCCAUAAAGCAUGUCCUCUGCCUCAAGAUCUAGUCUUUCAGUCCUAAAGUUCCUGGAAUUCGUCAAUCAGUACAGCACACCAAGACUCACUGAGGAACUCAGCCUUCAGGCUCAAUUCCAUGGCUGUGGCUAGGAGAUGUUGGAAUAAGGAGCUGGCAAGAAAUAGGAAUUGAAAACUGACUUUGGCUUGAGUGAAGUUUUUAUCGGAGAGGAGUAGCUGGAGGUGAUUCUUCAGAGUUGUAGGAACUGAAUUUGGGGCCACAGAUCAGCCUCAGUUUCAGCUGAAUUCCUCUUUAUGGCUCACAUUCUCUCAGUUGGCUCAUGGCAGAAGCUGACCUCUCAGAGAGGUUGGCAUGUUGGAGAUCUCCCCCCAGCUCUUUAGACUCUCCAGUUAUCAGCAAGUUCUGGGCCUCAUAAGGCUUUUAUCCAGCUCCAGGAGCCCUGCUGUCGAUGGCUGCAGCCCAAGCUGCAUUCAAGGAGAAGAUCCUGGAGCUGAGGCAAUGUCUGACCCAUGUGCAAAGGGAAAUUCAAGGCUGGGUGAGAACAUGUCAUCCAGAAAGCACUGAAAAGGCAAUGAGCUUGGUGCGGGAUUUGGAGUGAGAACCCAGGAGACUGAGGCAAUUGUGAGAAGGGGAGUCUGUAAGAGAACAUGGAGAUCAGGUUGUAGAGGGCCUGGAUUAAGGGACAGGCAGCUGGAACAAAGUGGAGAACCUUGAAUUUGCUGUUGCUUCUUAAGCACUUGUUUAUUUUUCUGAUUGUUGUCUAUGCCAGCUUUCCUAAGAGAACAGACUUUCUUUCCUUUUUUUUUUCUUUUAACAUUGGUCUCUGAGCUAACAUCUGUCAGCAAUCUUCUUUUUUUUUCUUUUCUUCUUCUUCUUCUCCCCAAAGCACCCCCGCACAUAGUUGUAUAUUCUAGUUGUGAGUCCCUGUGGUUGUGCUAUGUGGCACGCCGCCUCAGUAUGGCUUGAUGAGCAGUACUAUGUCCACACCCAGGAUCCAAACCGGCAAAACCCUGGGCUGCCGAUGCCAGGUGCACGAACUUAACCACUUGACCACAGGGCUGGUGCUCUUUCCCUUUCACAGGAAGGAGGGUUGGUGGAGAGCAAGGCUGGACCCUCACCAAUCACUGAGUUUUCAGUAUAUCUCUGCUCCCAAAAAUGAAAGAAAGGAGAUAUUUGUCCUCUGUAGAACUCAGCCUUUCUCCUCUGCACAUUAUAUUCACCUAAGCUGGCUCUGUGAAUGAGAAUCUUGUAUUAACUAAAAUGCCUGAGCAAAAUGGCGGGGUGAGCUGACCUGGGAUUCUCUCUCCUCCAAAAUACAACAAAAGAUUGGAAGAACUGAAUUUCAGAGAACAAAAAUAAUGUCAGCUCAUUAGAGACCUACAAUUCCAAGAAGGCGGAGAUCAUAAACCUUGCUUUACACCUUCGGAGGCGCUGGAACGGUAGGAGAGAACAUCGCUCCCUCCCCUAGAGUCUGCGAUUGCUGCAGCAUGGGUCGGGAGGGAGCGGAGGAGGGGCCGUGCGACCAGGGGAUCAUCCAGGACUCCUGCCGCUAAUUCAGUGGAAACCCGCUGACGAGGGGAAAGCUUCCAUCCAGGGGACCCCAUAAAUCAAGGGCCUUGGGAGACCAGAGAACAGAACUGAUCUGAACCCAGACCGGCGCGUGUAACAGCCCCUCCCCCCCCAGCGAAGCCAGUGGGCACAGCCAUCUUGCCCCAAUGCGGAGAGCUCAUAACACUCCGCUCUCUACCCCCAUCUAGUGGCGACAGGCUGUAACUGCAACUGAAUUCUACCACCAUGAGAAAAAACCGCUCCUCUACCAUCCAGCAAUUUAUAAAAGCCCCAGACCAGAAGGAAAACAAUAAAAACACAGAAUUAAGUCCUGAGGACUUGGAAUUAGGUAAACUAAGUGAUAAUGAAUUCAGAGCAGCUAUAAUCAAAGAACUCAAUGAGGUAGAGAGAAAGAUAGAGAAACAAGCUGAGUUCUGGAGUUACUUCACAAAAGAGAUUGAAAUCAUAAAGAAGAAUCAAACAGAAUUACUUGAGAUGAAAAACACAAUGGACCAGAUAAAACAGAAUAUGGGUUCCCUGAAUGCCCGUGUAGACAACAUAGAGGAGAAAAUUAGCAUAAUCGAGGACAGACAGGCUGAAUGGCGCCAGACAGAGGAAGAAAGAGAACUAAGAAUUUAAAAAAAUGAGGAAAAUCUCCGAGAGAUAAUGGAUUCAAUGAGGAGUAAGAACAAAAACAAGGAUCAUAGGAAUUCCCGAGAAUAUGGAAAAGGAAAAUGGAGCAGAAAGUGUGCUUAACGAAAUUAUUGAAGAGAACUUCCCAAAUCUAGGGAUCAAUGGAGAAAUGUGUGUAGAGGAGGGUUUUAGAUCUCCUAGAUUUGUCAAUGUAAAAAGAGCUGCCCCAAGGCACAUAGUAGUAAAGUUGGCAAAUAGGAAUGAUAAGGAGAGAAUACUCAGGGAAGUAAGGGAAAAAAAGAGAAUAACCUAUAAAGGAGCCCCUAUCAGACUGUCAGCGGAUUUCUCUACGGAAACCCUACAAGCUAGGAGAGAAUGAAGUGAUAUAUUCAAAGCUUUAAAGGAUAAAAACCUUCAGCCAAGAAUACUCUAUCCAGCAAGAAUUUCCUUCAGAUAUGAGGGAGAAAUUAAAUCUUUUCCAGACAAACAAAAGUUAAGGGAAUUUGUAACUAAAAGCCCUCCAUUACAAAGAAAUCCUCAAGAAGGCUUUCAUACUUGAAAAAAGAAAAAAGGGAGAAAGGGGACACAAUCCACAGACUAGGGAGACCGA
rnacentral:lncRNA from 1 species